GCAAGCUGGUGCCAGCAGCCGCGGUAAUUUCAGCUCCAAUAGCGUAUAUUAAAGUUGUUGCAGUUAAAAAGCUCGUAGUUGAAUUUCGGGAUCAAUAUUUCGGUCAUGCCGUUGGUAUGCACUGUUAUCAUUGAUUUCUCACCUUCUAAAGAACCAUAAUGCCAUUAAUUUGGUGUUACGGGGAAUUAGAACUGUUACCUUGAAAAAAUUAGAGUGUUUAAAGCAGGCUCACGCUUGAAUACAUUAGCAUGGAAUAAUGAAAUAGGACAUCCGAUUCUAUUUUGUUGGUUUCUAGGAUCGAUGUAAUGAUUAAUAGGGAUAGUUGGGGGCAUUAGUAUUCAAUUGUCAGAGGUGAAAUUCUUGGAUUUAUUGAAGACUAACUACUGCGAAAGCAUUUGCCAAGGAUGUUUUCAUUAAUCAAGAACGAAAGUUAGGGGAUCGAAGACGAUCAGAUACCGUCGUAGUCUUAACCAUAAACUAUGCCGACUAGGGAUCGGAUGAUGUUAAUUUUUUAAUGACUCAUUCGGCGCCUUACGGGAAAC
rnacentral:rRNA from 1 species